GGAUGUCAGAUACGCGAAAGGGGUAAACAAAUCGUAAUUUUUAUUUAGUAUUAUUCGAAAUGAAUUUCUUCAUCACUGUAAUUUGAAUCUCUUCUGUAGCCAGAAGUCUGCUGGUGGUAAAUCUAGCGGGUAUGGCGGAUGUUAUAAAAGAAAAAGGCCCUUUUUGGACAAAAACUUCAUUACUAUUCUAGACUUGUGAGCCGACGCGUUGCUAUGUAUUUUGACAAGCUGUGUCGAAAUAAAAGGGUUCAGUAUCGAUUUUCUACAGCCAUUGUCUCAAGAUUUUGGAUGAAGUCCAUUCUAUUCAUUGCUUAAUUAAAGAAAUACCAAGUACA